rnacentral:rRNA from 1 species
AGCGAACGCUGGCGGCGUGCUUAACACAUGCAAGUCGAGCGAAGGUGUUUCAAGGGUAACCUUGAGAUACACUUAGCGGCGGACGGGUGAGUAAUACGUGGAUAACUUACCUCUAGGCCUGGGAUAACCCCGGGAACGUGGGGCUAAUACCUGAUAAGACCACAUUGUCUACGGACAAAGGGGUAAAAGGUGGCUGUGCAAACAGCUAUCGCCAAAAGAUAGGUUCACGUCCCAUCAGGCAGUUGGUGAGGUAAUGGCUCACCAAACCAAAGACGGGUAGCCGGCCUUGGC